UCGAGGAUAUUUAGCAAUGGGGGAAACCCUGACUAUGUGACGCCGCGUGAGGGAUGAAGGCCUUCGGGUUGUAAACCUCUUUCGACAGGAAAGAAACUUCCGUUUAACAAACGGAACUGACGGUACCUGGAGAAGAAGCCAUGGCCAACUCUGUGCCAGCAGCCGCGGUAAUACAGAGAUGGCGAGCGUUACUCGGAUUUAUUGGGUGGAAAGGGCAGGUAGGUGUUCUGCCAAGUUAGAAGUGAAAUCCUGCAGCUCAACUGCAGAACUGCUUCUAAAACUGGCAGAAUUGAGGAUAGAAGAGGAGAGCGGAAUUCCCGGUGUAAGGGUGAAAUCUGUAGAUAUCGGGAGGAACACCAGUGGCGAAAGCGGCUCUCUGGUCUAUCCCUGACGCUGAUCUGCGAAAGCUAGGGGAGCAAACA
rnacentral:rRNA from 1 species